rnacentral:rRNA from 1 species
GACGAACCGUGCAAACGUUACUCGGAUUCACUGGGCUUAAAGGGCGCGUAGGCUGUCCGCUAAGUCGUGGGUGAAAUCUUUCGGCUCAACCGGAAGACUGCCCUCGAUACUGGCGGGCUAGAGGGAGGGAGGGGCAGCGGGAACUGCCAGUGGAGCGGUGAAAUGCGUUGAUAUUGGCAGGAACGCCGGUGGCGAAAGCGCGCUGCUGGACCUUCCCUGACGCUGAGGCGCGAAAGCUAGGGGAGCAAACGGG